CAAUAGCGUAUAUUAAAGUUGUUGCGGUUAAAAAGCUCGUAGUUGGAUUUCUGUUGAGAACGACCGGUCCGCCCUUUGGGUGUGUAUCUGGCUCUUUCUUGGCAUCUUCUUGGUGAACGUUGCUGCACUUGACUGUGUGGAGCGCUACCCAGGACUUUUACUUUGAGGAAAUUAGAGUGUUUCAAGCAGGCAUACGCCUUGAAUACAUUAGCAUGGAAUAAUAAGAUAGGACCUCGGUUCUAUUUUGUUGGUUUCUAGAGCUGAGGUAAUGAUUAAUAGGGAUAGUUGGGGGCAUUCGUAUUUAACUGUCAGAGGUGAAAUUCUUGGAUUUGUUAAAGACGGACUACUGCGAAANCANNNGCCAAGGAUGUUUUCAUNGA
rnacentral:rRNA from 1 species